rnacentral:rRNA from 1 species
AGUGAACGCUGGCGGCAGGCCUAACACAUGCAAGUCGAACGGCAGCACAGGAGAGCUUGCUCUCUGGGUGGCGAGUGGCGGACGGGUGAGGAAUACGUCGGAAUCUGCCUAUUUGUGGGGGAUAACGUAGGGAAACUUACGCUAAUACCGCAUACGACCUACGGGUGAAAGCGGAGGACCUUCGGCUUCGCGCAGAUAGAUGAGCCGACGUCGGAUUAGCUAGUUGGCGGGGAAGGG